rnacentral:rRNA from 1 species
GCAUAUCAAUAAGCGGAGGAAAAGAAACCAACAGGGAUUGCCCUAGUAACGGCGAGUGAAGCGGCAACAGCUCAAAUUUGAAAUCUGGCUUCGGCCCGAGUUGUAAUUUGCAGAGGAAGCUUUAGGCGCGGCACCUCCUGAGUCCCCUGGAACGGGGCGCCACAGAGGGUGAGAGCCCCGUAUAGUUGGAUGCCUAGCCUGUGUAAAGCUCCUUCGACGAGUCGAGUAGUUUGGGAAUGCUGCUCAAAAUGGGAGGUAAAUUUCUUCUAAAGCUAAAUACCGGCCAGAGACCGAUAGCGCACAAGUAGAGUGAUCGAAAGAUGAAAAGCACUUUGAAAAGAGGGUUAAAUAGCACGUGAAAUUGUUGAAAGGGAAGCGCUUGUGACCAGACUUGCGCCGGGCUGAUCAUCCGGUGUUCUCACCGGUGCACUCUGCCCGGCUCAGGCCAGCAUCGGUUCUCGCGGGGGGAUAAAGGCCCUGGGAACGUAGCUCCUCCGGGAGUGUUAUAGCCCGGGGCGGAAUGCCCUCGCGGGGACCGAGGUUCGCGCUCUGCAAGGAUG